CUUGGUCAUUUAGAGGAAGUAAAAGUCGUAACAAGGUUUCCGUAGGUGAACCUGCGGAAGGAUCAUUAAAGUUUGCUUAAUUGCAUUACACAUGUUUUUUUAGAGAACUUGCUUGCAAGAACACUAAUAAUUUACUUAGUCAACAAAUAAAAAUAUCAAAACUUUCAACAACGGAUCUCUUGGUUCUCGCAUCGAUGAAGAACGCAGCGAAAUGCGAUACGUAAUAUGAAUUGCAGAUUUUCGUGAAUCAUCGAAUCUUUGAACGCACAUUGCGCCCUGUGGUAUUCCACAGGGCAUGCCUGUUUGAGCGUCAUUUCUCCCUCAAACCUCUGGUUUGGCGUUGAGUGAUACUCGGUUUACUUGAAAAACAUGAAAAGCAUAACUAUUAGGUUUUACCAACUCGUUAUACUAAUCUACAAGUUUGACCUCAAAUCAGGUAGGACUACCCGCUGAACUUAAGCAUAUCAAUAAGCGGAGGAAAAGAAACCAACCGGGAUUGCCUCAGUAACGGCGAGUGAAGCGGCAAAAGCUCAAAUUUGAAAUCUGGUACCUUUGGUAUCCGAGUUGUAAUUUGAAGAUGGUAACUUUGGAUUUGGUUCUUGUGUAAGUUCCUUGGAAUAGGGCUUCAUGGAGGGUGAGAAUCCCGUGUCGCGAGAAUACCAUUUCUAUGUAAAGUGCUAUCGAAGAGUCGAGUUGUUUGGGAAU
rnacentral:sRNA from 1 species